UACAGAGGUCUCAAGCGUUGUUCGGAUUCAUUGGGCGUAAAGGGUGCGUAGGCGGCGCGGUAAGUCGGGGGUGAAAUCUCGGAGCUUAACUCCGAAACUGCAUUCGAUACUGCCGUGCUUGAGGACUGGAGAGGAGACUGGAAUUUACGGUGUAGCGGUGAAAUGCGUAGAUAUCGUAAGGAAGACCAGUGGCGAAGGCGGGUCUCUGGACAGUUCCUGACGCUGAGGCACGAAGGCCAGGGGAGCAAACGGG
rnacentral:rRNA from 1 species